rnacentral:rRNA from 1 species
AGUGAACGCUGGCGGUAGGCCUAACACAUGCAAGUCGAACGGAAGCACGGGGAGAUCGUUCUCUUACGGGUAGCGAGUGACGGACGGGUGACGAAUGGAUCGCAAUCUACUUUUUCUGGGGUGACAACGGAGAGAAACUGACGCUAAUACCGCAUACAACCUACCGGUGAAAGCAGUGGAGCUACGGAGCUUGCGCGAUUGAAUUAGCCGAAGUCGGAUUAGCUAGUUGGGUGGGUAACGUCACACCAAGGCGACGAUACGUAGCUGGGCUGAGAGGAUGAUCAGCCACACUGGAACUGAGACACGGUCCAGACUCCUACGGGAGGCAGCAGUGGGGAAUCUUGGACAAUGGGCGCAAGCCUGACCCAGCAAUACCGCGUGAGUGAAGAAGGCCUUCGGGUUGUAAAGCUCUUUUGUUAGGAAAGAAAAGAAGCAGGUUAAUCCCCCGACGUUCUGACGGUACCCAAAGAAUAAGCACCGGCUAACUUCGUG